GGCCGAUAGUUUUCUGCUAUUUAACAAUCCCAGAAGGGGGAAGUGAGUUCAAACCUGAUCUACUUUAAGAUCGUUUUAAGUAAUUUCCCUAAAAACUUGGCAGUGUAUUUGUAUGAACUCUUUUUUAAAUUUUGUUUCUCACAAUUGCGUUUUAUCCGCUCUUUAAAAAAAUAAAACUGGGAGAGAGGAUUAUUAAAUACAUAAG
rnacentral:lncRNA from 1 species